rnacentral:misc_RNA from 1 species
GAUUAAGAACGUAGCGAAAUGCGAUAAGUAGUGUGAAUUGCAGAAUUCAGUGAAUCAUCGAAUCUUUGAACGCACAUUGCGCCCCUUGGUAUUCCAUGGGGCAUGCCUGUUCGAGCGUCAUUUGUACCUUCAAGCUCUGCUUGGUGUUGGGUGUUUGUCUCGCCUCUGCGUGUAGACUCGCCUCAAAACAAUUGGCAGCCGGCGUAUUGAUUUCGGAGCGCAGUACAUCUCGCGCUUUGCACUCAUAACGACGACGUCCAAAAGUACAUUUUUACACUCUUGACCUCGGAUCAGGUAGGGAUACCCGCUGAACUUAAGCAUAUCAAUAAGCGGAGGA